rfam:Deltaproteobacteria bacterium RBG_13_47_9 RBG_13_scaffold_46312, whole genome shotgun sequence.
UAGGCUGACAGCAAACUGCCCGAUGCCCAGGCGGCUCAUGAGAAAACAUUGACCGGCAUCUGUGCCGCUAUGGCCGGCGCAAAUCUGAUCUACGGUGCCG